GAUAGUUCAGAUAGUUCAGGAGAGGGAAGACAUAGCAUAUGCUCGGGUUUCUCCUUAAGAAGGGAAGUCUGUCUAUGGAAGAGCCACAGAAGAGCUGACUAACAGAGAUUUGCCUGGAAAUGACAAACCAGUGAUGCCUCUAAAUAGACAACAAGCCCACUGUCAUUAUCCAUGACAGUCAUGAAUGUGGAGCUGCACAAAUAAGUGGAGUUAGCAGUGAGAAGAGAAACAAAGGAUGGUAUGGGGAGUGAAGAGAGACAGUGAAGAGAGAUUACAAGUGUUACAGCUCCAAAGGAUAUGACACCAUGACUGUCAGAAGUGAGGCAUACCUUUGAAGGAAAGGUAUCCCGGAUUCCUACAGCUGUGAGGAGAAAGGUAUCCUUUUAACAAAGUGAACUGUGGUGAUUGCAGAAACUCAUGGAUGCUAAAAAUGCUAAGAAUAAGUGAAAGCUGAAUUUUUAACACUAAGCAAGAUAGUUAUACCACAAUCUCUCUAGUUUGGAGAACAUUGAAGAAGAGGAGUAGAGGAAAUAUAAGGACCUUACCAUAAUGAAAAAGGGCUACAAAAUGCUAUCUUCUGGAGAUGCCAUAGCAGCUGUGGCCUGCACAGGAAUGAGCCUGCCAUCUGUCAAUCAUGGGUCAGAGAACUCAUGGGAACAUAUUGAUGGAUUCCAGAGGAGAGACAGCCAUUUUCCUUAUUUGUGUACUCCCAAUUGAGUGUACCAGAUCAAAUUGACAGUUAAAAACUCAGGCCAUACAGAAGUCCCUGGUUAAACUCAGUAGUUCACAUGACAAAACAAAAAGACUUGAAUGUGAGAAAGGAACUUAAUGUAGAUGGGGCAGGUUAGAAGGAUUGUAAGGGAGAUAGGAAAGGAUGGGUGUGAAAAUAUCUAUCUAUACAUUGAAGUUGUCAAAGAAAAAAAUUAUAAAUUUUUAUGUCUAUGACACCCUAUGGGCAUAAUUGUACAUUUUCUAGUUAGUUGUUCUACAACCAUAAAAUGUUGGAUGUAUUUAUUUGAUAUAUUUCAAAUGUUUCUUUUCUUUUUAAAAAGGUUUCUAUGAGGUGCCUAAGAAUUUAAUGUUGUUUUCUCCUGGCAAUGUAACAUGUUCAGAAGAGAUGACUCCAUAGGAGUCUAUGAGGUUGGAAAUUAUGUGCCAAAGAACAUAUUUGAAGGUUGGUUCUGGAAGAGAAUACCUUAAUUCCUUUUCUGCUUGCUAAGUCAAGAUACCUAUGCUUUUAUUUAUUUUGAAGGGAGAUAUAUAUGCAUGUGUACAGGUAUACCUGCCCAUGCAGGAACAUGUAGAUGUAAAAGGUUAAUGUUUGGAUGUCUUCCUCUAAUAUUUUUUACCUUCUUUUUUAAGACACAGUAUUUCACUGAAACUAGGGAAUUCUAUUUUCAGUUAGACUGGCUGGCCAGCAAGCCUCUAGGUCCCCCCUGUCCCUGCACUGCAAUGCUAAGAUAACAGGAUCAUGAUACUGAAUCGGGCUUUUCCAUGUGUACUAGACAUCCAGACUUUGGUCCUCAUGAUGUAAAGCAUGACAUUUCCCACUGAAAUCUUCCUGGCACUUGUUUUACUGUUUUAA